rnacentral:rRNA from 1 species
AACGAACGCUGGCGGCAGGCUUAACACAUGCAAGUCGAACGCCCCGCAAGGGGAGUGGCAGGCGGGUGAGUAACGCGUGGGAACAUACCCUUUUCUAUGGAAUAGCUCUGGGAAACUGGAAUUAAUACCGUAUACGUCCUACGGGGGGAAGAUUUAUCGGGGAAGGAUUGGCCCGCGUUGGAUUAGCUAGUUGGUGGGGUAAAGGCCUACCAAGGCGACGAUCCAUAGCUGGUCUGAGAGGAUGAUCAGCCACAUUGGGACUGAGACACGGCCCAAACUCCUACGGGAGGCAGCAGUGGGGAAUAUUGGACAAUGGGCGCAAGCCUGAUGCAGCCAUGCCGCGUGAGUGAUGAAGGCCUUAGGGUUGUAAAGCUCUUUCACCGAUGAAGAUAAUGACGGUAGUCGGAGAAGAAGCCCCGGCUAACUUCGUG